UAAGUGCACAAGGAAUUGAACCCUGACUCAAUCGAUUAAAAGUCGAUAGCUUUAUCCUAUUAAGCUAUACACUC
rnacentral:tRNA from 1 species